AAAGCCAAAAAACUGUUUUUAACAACAAAAAACCUUAAAAAUUGCCUUUUUUAAUCAAAUAUCCACGUUUUUAAACAGUAAAAUUAAAAUAUCUACGAAAAUAUUAAUUUCCCACCAUGGACAACAACACUAAAACCUUCCUAAAUAAAUUCCUUAUUUUAUCUGCUAAAUAACCUCAAAAAAUUUCAAAAAUCUUCAAAAUUAAACCCAAAAAAUAGUUUUUUCAACCAUAAAAAACUCCUAAUAUUUUAUAUAUGAGUACUUACUAAUUAAUCACUCACUGUUUUUAUUCUACUAUUAAUAUUGCUAUUGGUAGCACUAUGAAAACACUAAACGUUAUCUUUAUCAACUGUUACGUUGUUGUAAUUCCGCAUAUAUUACAGAUAAACUAUCAUUACCUUUACCAACUUCGCACAUAUCACACACCAACAAGUAGACAUAGACAUAGUUACUCCAUUGUAAUAAUAGUUAUCAUGUUUAUAAUAUCGCCAUUAUAAACACGAUAAAAAUAAAUAUUUCUUACCAUUAGUCAUUGGUGGCGACUCCAUGAUUGGCACGAUCAACCGUUGAAAUAUUCCAGUAGCAGCUACACUGUAUUAACAAAACAUAAAUAUAAAUAAACUUCUCAUUUACAAUUGAUUAUUUAUAUACAUACCAAGAUAUUUGAUUUGAUUUGAUUAGUUCUAGGUAUUAUAUACGAGUACAUGUAAACUAAUACGUAAUAAAUAAAAAAUGGCGAAAUAAGCAUGAAAUUUAUUUGAAAAGCGUCGAAUAUGCACAAAUUGCCUACGUUAAGUGCCAUCACGAUAAUACUCUGUCUGGUUGCGACUGGUUUAUUGAAGCAAAUAAUAAAAAUAACAAAUGAACUCGAUUAAUGCGUUAAUGCGUUUCAACUUGAAGUUAAAGAUACGAGUGUAAUAUACAAGUCAUCCCAUGAGUGCCUCAACCCACACAACGCGUCUAAUAAAUGUAAAAUGUGCGAAUUUAUAUAGUAUUUGACGCGUUUUUAAAUAAAUCGAAUCAUUUUCCGAAUUGUUUUAUUAUUGACGUAUGAUUUGGCCAGUUUGUAUAAAUUUGGUUUGGCUGUUCAAGUAAUGACAACAACAAUUGCGAUUUGUACAGAGAUGUUUGUCUGGGACGAAAGGAAUCUACCUUCAAAAAUUCAAUCUUCAAUUUAUUUAGUUUUCUUGCUGAUUCAGCUGUCUUUUUAUUGUUUUUCAAUUGAAAUGUUAACAAAUGAAGCUAUGGAAACGUCAAACGCCAUUUUCCACUCUCAAUGGUACACUGAUUUCAAAUUUGCGAAGACAUACGUCCAAGCAAUUAUUCGCAGAUCACAAAAACCUAUUAUAUUCACUGCAGGAGGUGUAAUUGUUAUAAACAAAGCAACAUUUACAUCGAUCCUGAAAAGUACUUUUUCACUCUAUACGUUUUUAAACGAUGUUAGAGAUGAUAAAUAAUGGCAGUUACAAAUUAUAACCUCACUUAAAUAGUUAGUAGCGACAUCUAUUGGAUAAAUUAGAUAAAUUGUGGUUUUAUUUCACUUGAAGCAAAUAUAUUUAUGGUUUAAUAUCAUUUGGCAUUGUAUCUGAUAGCCAAUCAACACGUUUACAAUUAUACCAAAUAAAAUCACCUCUAUAAUCA